AGUGAACGCUGGCGGUAGGCCUAACACAUGCAAGUCGAACGGCAGCACAGAGGAGCUUGCUCCUUGGGUGGCGAGUGGCGGACGGGUGAGGAAUACAUCGGAAUCUACUCUGUCGUGGGGGAUAACGUAGGGAAACUUACGCUAAUACCGCAUACGACCUACGGGUGAAAGCAGGGGACCUUCGGGCCUUGCGCGAUUGAAUGAGCCGAUGUCGGAUUAACUAGUUGGCGGGGUAAAGGCCCACCAAGGCGACGAUCCGUAGCUGGUCUGAGAGGAUGAUCAGCCACACUGGAACUGAGACACGGCCCAGACUCCUACGGGAGGCAGCAGUGGGGAAUAUUGGACAAUGGGCGCAAGCCUGAUCCAGCCAUACCGCGUGGGUGAAGAAGGCCUUCGGGUUGUAAAGCCCUUUUGUUGGGAAAGAAAUCCAGCUGGCUAAUACCCGGUUGGGAUGACGGUACCCAAAGAAUAAGCACCGGCUAACUUCGUGCCAGCAGCCGCCGUAA
rnacentral:rRNA from 1 species